UGAAGAAAUGGUCUUGCAUUGCCUCCACCGGGUUUCUUUCUCUUUCUCUUUCUCUUUUUUCUCUUUCUCUUUUCCUUUUUCUUUUGGUUUCUCUUUUGAGCUGAGAGGAGGAGGAGAGGGACCCGACCGAGUUUGGGGUUGGGAAUGAGAGAGAGGACGAUUUGAGGUCUUCUCUUCGAUUGUUUGUGAUCUCCUUAUUGAAGAAAAGG
rnacentral:ribozyme from 13 species